CUUGAGUCUGUGCUGAAAGACAGUAUAUAAAGAGCACAGCAAGCUUUAUUUUCAUUGUAGCUGACACUAAUUCCAACCAGACCUUCAUCAUGUUCAUCAUGAAGACCGAUCUACUCGUCUCUCUUCUGUGUGUCACACUGUGUGUGAGUGCCGCAGCAGUUGUUCCAGUGGAAGAUAUUCUUCAGAAAGAGAAAGCUGAUGUUUCAGUUCCAGCUGCAGCAGUAGCAGAUGUGGAAGAGGAGGAAGCUGAACUUCCAGCCUCAGAAGGAGAAGAUGUGCAAGAAGAGAAAACUGAACUCUCAGUCACAGAGGACACAGCAGAUGUUGCACCAAAGGAUCUACUGAAGGACAACACUCUGCAAAAUGGAAUUCCUCCUCCUCCUUUCAUGCAAGAGAGAGCAUCUUCACAUUGUCCUCAAGGCUGGCAGCCAUACCACAACAGCUGUUACCUGCUGGUCAACCUUACAUAUACCUGGACCAACGCAGAGUUCCUGUGUGAGAGUCCCACAAUUUAUGGGAAUACAAUUUCCUGA
rnacentral:lncRNA from 15 species